rnacentral:rRNA from 1 species
UACGGGGGGGGUAAGCGUUGUUCGGAAUUACUGGGCGUAAAGGGCUCGUAGGCGGCCAACUAAGUCGGACGUGAAAUCCCUCGGCUCAACCGGGGAACUGCGUCCGAUACUGGAUGGCUUGAGUUCGGGAGAGGGAUGCGGAAUUCCAGGUGUAGCGGUGAAAUGCGUAGAUAUCUGGAGGAACACCGGUGGCGAAGGCGGCAUCCUGGACCGACACUGACGCUGAGGAGCGAAAGCCAGGGGAGCAAACGGG